UACGAAGGGUGCAAGCGUUACUCGGAAUUACUGGGCGUAAAGCGUGCGUAGGUGGUUCGUUAAGUCUGUCGUGAAAGCCCCGGGCUCAACCUGGGAAUGGCGAUGGAUACUGGCGGGCUAGAGUGCGGUAGAGGAGAGUGGAAUUCCCGGUGUAGCAGUGAAAUGCGUAGAGAUCGGGAGGAACAUCAGUUGCGAAGGUGGCUCUCUGGACCAGCACUGACACUGAGGCACGAAAGCGUGGGGAGCAAACAGG
rnacentral:rRNA from 1 species